UUUGCCCUACUCCAGCCUUUGAUCAAACAGUAAACAAAUCCUUCAGGAUAGGGAAGAAUUUCCUGGGUGUUGACCAUACGGCAACAUAUUUGGUCAUUGUGUGGAGCCUGUGUAGCACUGUAGUGGCUGUAAAUCCUGAAAUAAAAGGAAAAACACGAACAUGUGCUGGGAAUUUUACUGGAAGCUCAGCAGCUGGAAUAUAACCACUGAGAUCAACUCCGAUGUUGUCAGUGCAGAAGAGCCAGCAGUGGAGGUGGUUUUCUGUAACACCAGUAUCCCCCACAGCCGGAGUCUGGACAAAAACAUUUCUGUCAUUCUGGAAUGCAUAUGGAGAGAGAGCAAAGAGAUAUAUGUGCUACUAGGCUUUUUUUUCUUCACAGUAACCUGAAUUCAUGACAUUUAUUCUAAGCACAGCUGUUACUGUCUUUCAGCUGUAAAAAAAAAUAAAGAGGAAAAAAAUUCUUUUGGCA
rnacentral:lncRNA from 1 species